CCCUUAGAUGUUCUGGGCCGCACGCGCGCUACACUGACGAAUGCAACGAGCUUAUAACCUUGGCCGAAAGGUCUGGGUAAUCUCCAAAUUUCGUCGUGAUGGGGAUAGAUUAUUGCAAUUAUUAAUCUUCAACGAGGAAUGCCUAGUAAGCGCAAGUCAUCAACUUGCGUUGAUUACGUCCCUGCCCUUUGUACACACCGCCCGUCGCUCCUACCGAUUGAAUGGUCCGGUGAAGCGCUCGGACCGCGGCCUCUUGACGGUUUUCCGUCGAUUGGCUGUGGGAAGUUCGUUAAACCUUAUCAUUUAGAGGAAGGAGAAGUCGUAACA
rnacentral:rRNA from 1 species